rnacentral:rRNA from 1 species
UGGGGAAUAUUUCACAAUGGACGGAAGUCUGAUGCAGCAACGCCGCGUGCGGGAUGACGGCCUUCGGGUUGUAAACCGCUUUUUCUCAUGACGAAGUUUUUUGACGGGAGUGGGGGAAGAAGCACCGGCUAACUACGUGCCAGCAGCCGCGGUGAUACGUAGGGUGCGAGCGUUGUCCGGAAUUAUUGGGCGUAAAGUGCUUGUAGGCGGUUUGUCGCGUCGAUCGUGCAAACUCAGUGCUUAACGCUGAGCCUGCUGUUGAUACGGGCAGACUAGAGGAAGGUAGGGGAGAAUGGAAGUCCCGGUGGAGCGGUGGAAUGCGCAGAUAUCGGGAGGAACAACGGUGGCGAAGGCGGUUCUCUGGGCCUUUCCUGACGCUGAGAAGCGAAAGCGUGGGGAGCGAACAGG